CCUGUUGUUGUCCAUGCUUUAUGCCUCAUCCUCCUCGUGUUUCCCCUGUAGCCUACGUGUUUUGUCUUGAUUUGAAUUCAUCUUCUCCUGCCCGCCUCUUUCCAUUUGGGUCCAUCUGCCUCAACCUGACAAUAUCACAGCAUCCGCAGCUCUGAACAUCCCACAGAGCAUAAUUCGCUUCAUUAUCCAAACCGGAAAGAGUACAGCACAACUACCAACCUACCAAUAUACAAAUAUACAAAUAUGACAUGGCUGUUGACCUAAACUGACAGGCCAGUCAGGGAGAGCAUUAAUCAGGAACCUGAAGGUCCAUGGUAACUUUAAAAGAGAUGGAGAGCUCCAGAGCUCAGGUGGCGGAACCUGUUUACAAGACGACUAUUCUUCGUGUAAAUUUAGUGUUUACGUCUUAGUUGUUCCCCCAAAACCCUUAAGUAAGAAACAUGAGUUCAGUUGGAGGAUUCUGUUUACCUGCAGCAAACUGUCAAGGCCUCCAGGAUAUUUAGAGAAGGCCCUCUGUGUGUUCUUAGCAAAACAAUCACCAUAAUGAUGAAUAGAUCUAAAAAAACAAGUAAUGUUUUUAGAUACUAACCUUUAAGAAAAUGUAUCAGUGAUUUUUUUAAAUUAUAUAGCCCUUUACACAGCUAAUAAGGGUGACCAAAGUGCUCAACAAUUAAAAAUGAUUGAAAAAUAUAUAUAUAUACAAAGAUGAAUAAAACGGUGAACCAUAAGAAGAGGCAAUAAAUAUAAAAAAAUCUGGAACGGAAUCUCAGGGUGAAUCUUGCUGUUAAAAGCCAGCCUGAAAAAAACUGUUUUGGGCUUUAAUUUGAAAAGACUUCAAUCAGAGGUGGAGCGCAGAACCCAGAGGGAGCUGGAUCCAGAAUCUGGGUGCUGCCACGGAGAAAGCCAGAUCACCUCAGCGUUUGGACCUGGUCUUUGGUAUAUCUGAUAAAAGCCGAUCUGAAGAUCUCAAAGACUUAUCAGGGAAAGCAAAGAUCAUAAUAACAACAAGGAAGGCAAUGUAAAGAGGAAAGAUCAGGGGUGAUGUGAUCAUGUUUGGAGGUGUCGGUUAGAAGACUGGCAAUAAUUCUGGACAAUCUAAAAGCAAUUGAGGCAACUGAUGACUAAAAGAAACAAAAUUAAAAGACAUGGCAGUAAUCAGUUCUAGAGCUGAUAAAAACAUGAAGAUCCUGUUCCAGGCCCGGCCGGACGUGUUAGAGGCUUAACUUUGGUCAGAAGAUGUCAAUAAUAAAAGCUUCAUUUUACCACAGAGCCAAUUUACUUGUGGAUUUUAAAUCUCUGUCAAACAUUACUCCAGAGUUCUCAACAGAACCGUUCAAUUUCUAAGUUAGAGAACCGACAUCAACGGUGGCAUUGUCACCAAAUAAAAUGCGUUCACUCUUUUUCCUUCAUUUAAAAAUAGAAAAUUGAGGUCGAGCCACUGUUUGACAGCAGUGACGCAGUUAAGGAGGAAGUGACAAAUAUGACUGUCACCUGGCUACAAGGAUAGGUGCAUCUCGUAAUCAUAACCAUGACGAUGAAGGGAUAGCUGGUGCUGGGUAAUAACUGAUCCAAGCUGGUGGUGAUUCCUAAUGCGGUCAAGAUGUAGAAAAUCACAUGUCUAUAAAUGGCUGCUAAAUGUGCGCACAAUUACUGUAAACUAUCCAUUAUUUACACUUGAUAUAGUUUUAUUGUUGACUGUUCAGUUUCUGACUGUUCUCUUGGUCUACCCUUCAGAUAUAAUUGAGUAAUAGAUGUGAUUGUGUGACAUUUGUUUAAAUCAGAAGGGGUCAGAGUGAUCUGUUUGGCAUUAUUAUGUUUUGAGCCAUCAGUACAGAAACGUCAGUGAAUUUGCACUUGUAAAUGGUAUGAAUUGCAGCAAAACAUCUAGUAUAUCCCUGCGUGCUUACCUUCUAAUUCUAAGAAGUGUCUCGUCGGCUUCUAACACUUUAGAGACCUGGACAGCAGUAAAUGCGGUCUCACCAGACUUCUUUGAAACAGUUUGGAAAGACCCUUGAUGUAUAACACUCUGAAAUAUUAAUGCCGCAGGGGGUGCUGCCGGGUCUCUGCUUCCAUAUGGCUACUUUACAAGCUGCAUAAAGAGGAUACUGGGAUGCACGCUUCCCAGAGCCAAAAAAAAAAGUUUCCUCAAGUAGGAUUGUAGAAAUGGAAUUGGUCCAAGGAGUGAUUUUGAAGCAAGGCUGAUAUCUGCAAGAUCUGACCUUACAUUUUAUGGAGGCUGCUGGAGAAGGUGCGGCUUACCUUUAACACCAAUUAUCCCAGAGACGAGGGGGCCCUGAGGGGGCUGCACAUCCUGCAUCGGAGCAGACAAGAAGAGGGUGUCAGUGUGUGACACGAAUGAUCGAGUUACCUCUGCAGCUGUGGAUGAGUGUUCUUUCAAAGCUAGACAAACCACUCUCUAUCAGAGGAAAACUAUUCCCCGCGUUAACAGGAUCCCUGGUAUUUAUCCUCCAGUUUGAAACAUCUGUUCCCUGAAAGACUAAAGUUGAAAAGUUUGUUGGCAACAGUGGAGUUUCAGCUCCGUCAUCCGAGCCUCCUCAAGAACUUUACUCCAAAGCUAUCUUUUAACAGUAUAGGCUUACUCUCCAGGGUGCCACUGCUACACAGGCUGAAAGCGCGCCUGCUGAAUUUCUUCUCAUUAUUCAGAAGCAACUCAUGCACUGUCUAACAGAAACAAAAAACUGCACUGUUGUACCUUCCAAAAAUAGAAAAAAAGGAAGGCAAAAACAUAGAACCUCUGUGUUUUUUUAAGCCUGCCGCAGCUCUGGUACAUGGGCUGAAUUUACAUGGUGCUUUUCUAGUCAUACCGACCACUCAAACAGGUUUACACCAAAACCACAAAAACCCAAUCGCCCUUAUACACACAUACUCCUUCACUGGCACACAGAGUACUAUGCAACUGGGGUCAGGUUCCUUGCCCAGGGGUAAAUCAGCAAGUUGCAGGAAGAAUCUGGAGUUAAACCCACAGCAUUAAUUGAAAAACAACUACUCUACCCAGUGAGCUACGGUUACCCAAGUUCAAAACCCUAGUGUCCAAACAGCAUCAUUAAGACUCAGGGACAGAGCAGGCAAGUCUGCAAUAAAGUUGUAGAGAGAUUUAAAGCAGGGUAACACCUCCAGUUUUGAACAUCUUAUAGAGCUCAAUCUUUUAUCCAAAAAUAGAAACAAUAAGGCACAGCUAACCGACUUACCAAUGCAUGGCCUUCUACCUAAACUAGCAGGCAAAGCAAGGAAGGCAUUAUUCAGAGAAGCAGUCAAGAGACCCUGGUAACCUUGGAGGACCUGCAGAGAUCCAAAGCUUAGGUAGGAGAACUUGUCAAUAGCACAACUAUUAGUCGUGCAGUCCUUAAAUCUGGCCCUUACAGAAAAUUAGAUUGUUUAUCCUACUUGCAAACACAAUUUGUGUUGGAAAACUGGCCCUAGACGUAGGCCUGAAAACCUGCAUCCCCACAGGGGAAUAGCGGCAGUGUAGGGCUUUAGUGUAGGGCCAGGAAUUAAAUCUUGAAGAAAAAGUUGAUGAAUGGACGGUAAAACCUACCAUAGGCUGUGGCGGUGGUUCAGCUUCCAGCUGGAGAAUGACCCUAAACAGACAGUGGGUUUUAAUGGAGGAGUUUUACAUUAAUUUUAAUAGAGCUAAUGUCAUUAUACAUCCUUAGUGGUUUUAAUGGCUUUACCUAGUUAGGUUUGAACCCAUUGCGUCCAGUUCAUUCAUUGAGAUAUUCUGCUGCUGCUAGGAACCCGUUGCUGCUAUGCCUCCAUGCACUUUAUUUUUUUUCCAAAUGCACUUUGAAUUAUUUUUGGAGAAAAAAAUAAAAAAUAAAAAAUAGGAUUGAGGACCUCAAAGCUGUCUGGCUUCCAGCAUUUUCUUUGGUACACCACUGUUAUCCCUACCGCUCGUUGCCUACCUGUCCACAAGGGCACUAAUAUUUUUGCAUGGCACUAUAACUACAAUAUUUAGGUUUAGAUUAAAGAGAAAGAUCGACACCUCAGAGCGACACUGGUCGGAGGCUGAAUGAAGCUGGGGAACACUGUGGGCUGUUUCUGUGAAGUGCACAGCAGAGGCAAGUCCAGGUAAGAUUCAUUAUCCUUUAUUGAUUCUCUCUAAUAUCUCAAAGCCAAGGAGAAGAUGAAGAUAAAAGAGAAGAAGAUAGGUCACAGAGGCAGCGAGACUUCAGCACUGAGAAAGGAGCUGGUUUUAAAGUCCUAUAUAUGUAGCCCAUUCUCCUUAGUCAGCACUUUCUGUCAGCGUCAGCACUGACUGAGGUUUAUGAACUCUUGAGCGGGUUAUUAUAAAAACCACAACAAACUCUUGAGGACCGGAAUAGACGCUCCCUGGAUGUGUGUUUCUGCUGCCAUAAAGCAAGUAAAAGCUACGACUGUGAGCAAACUUGAUCUUCUCUCUCCCUCUGUCGUACAAGAACUAUAAAUAAUUUCAAACAGGCAGCGCACACAGUCGCUCCAGGGAGACCCGAGGCAACAGUAGAAUUUCCUGUCUUGUCUCCAGGGUUAGGAUUCCACUUGCAAAUGUUAGCAUCGCUUCCCUUUAAAUUGACAGUUUAAAACAAUGUGAAAGCCCGCAUUUUAGAAAAUAACACUUUGCUGUCCUUUAUAAAUGCCGCACUUGAGCGAACAAUGGCGGGUGCUCAUAAUGGCUGCAUCUCGUUGACCCCUGUCCAGCUUCAGAGGCCAAAACCAACAGCCAUCAGCUGCCUCUUCCUCGAGGAAGAUCAAUAACGAGAGGAGGCCAAAACGAGGCAGAAACACGUCACAGGUGGAGGAAGAUGAGGCCUUGCCUGCCGUGAAGCUCCGCUGAAGACCAUCGCUUAGAAGAGGAGCAGGAUUUGACAGAAGCUCUUUACUUGUCGCAUAACGGCGGCAGGAUGGAAGCGCACUCUUGGGAGCGGCAGUGGCUCCUGGGUCACGUAUGAUAUGGAGGGAACAUUUCCAGCUUUGCAUUGCACGGCUUUUUAGGUGGUCUGUUUAAGCCAAGCCUUGAGAGCUAUAAUCCUGUAACCUUUGCAUGCAUCCAUGGUAAAACAAACCCAAAUUCCCUCAUCUGCAUGUCAUUCAGCUCUGCAGAGGCCUGGCAACAAGAUAUUCAUUUGAUUCAGGAGAAUGGACGGAUCUGAAAGUUGCAGGGAAGUAGCUGUGGAGGAGCUGCUUCUUUCCUUCCUUCCUUCCUGUCCGCCUGCUGCUGCCAGCUUCAAACUUAUACUAUAUUAGCCAAUAAAGAUGUAUCUAAACAUUUA